CUGCUCGUAGUGGUGCAGAAAAACAGAAGGCUUGUUUGUCUAAAUUUAUGGGGAGUCUUUUUCCCCAAUCAAUUUAUGGGUCUUGUUAAUUCAUUACCUAGACUCUUUGACAGCCAAGCACUCAGUUAACAAAAACCAAGCUAUCUCUGUUCUCUAUCCAUUCCGCUCCCACUUCUCUCCUAAGCUCUCAAAUACUUGAAUCUUCUCACUUCAUUUUCAUCUAAGGUCGAAAAUCAGUAGCUACUUUACCUCUAUACCUUGCUUCUCAUCAUGUUAAGUGAACAAAUGGAGGACUUUGAGAUUUCAAACCACUAAGCUUCUCUCUAUUUUGCUUCAAUACCAUAAAUUUUCUUUCCUUUCGAUAUUGGAGUUUGUUAGAGAUGGUGACAAAUCUGUUGUAGAGUUGAUGGAUAUUGGGAAACAACUUCUAGGGAGGAGGUUUCAUUACUCGAUCAAGGAAGCCAGGGAAAGCAGAGUUUUUUACAACUUAAGCAGGAUGAGACUAAGCUCUACAUCUUACUUGAGCUUGUAACAAAAGGAUCACUUGAAAGUCUCUAUUUAAAGUAUCUCUUGAGGAAUUCUCAAGUCUCUGUGUUCACAAGGCAGAUUUUGAGUGGCUUGAAAUAUCUUCAUGAUCGUAAUGUGCUCCACAGGGCAUUUCGAAGCAGAUUGGUGAUAAGACUUGUGGAUAUUAUAUUAUGCAUUACAUGAAGGAUAUAGUGGAGGACAAAAACCAAGAGUGGAAUGCUAAGUGGGAAAGAAAAGCAAAUCACUAUUACACAAUGGAGAAUGUUGAUGUUGUCCUGGCAGAGUGGGCAAAGUAUGUUCUUAAGUUCAAAGAUAACUAGUGUGUAGGUUAACUAGUAGUUGGAGAUAUGUAGCAUCAGCUUUUGAACAUGCAUAGUUGAUAUAUAGGCCAGAUUUGAUUGCAGUACUGCUAGCUAUUUUGCCAUGGUGUUUAGUUGGUUGCCCAGUUUAGUAGAUAUGGGCCAUUUAGAAUUGAUGCUGAUGAUUAGGUUUGUGUACAUGAGACAAUGGUGGAUUAAUAGAAAUUGCAAUGAUUGAUUUUGGA